rnacentral:rRNA from 1 species
GGAAUAUUGCACAAUGGGCGAAAGCCUGAUGCAGCAACGCCGCGUGAAGGAUGAAGGGCCUCGGGUCGUAAACUUCUGUCAGAAGGGAAGAAGAGUCGCAGGUGAAGAGCUAGUGACUUUGACGGUACCUUCAGAGGAAGCCCUGGCUAACUCCGUGCCCGCAGCCGCGGUAAUACGGAGAGGGCAAGCGUUAUUCGGAUUUAUUGGGCGUAAAGGGCGUGUAGGCGGCUUGAAAGGUCAAUGGUGAAAUCCCCGGGCUCAACCUGGGAACUGCCUUUGAAACCGUCUGGCUCGAGUUCGGGAGAGGGUAGUGGAAUUCCCAGUGUAGCGGUGAAAUGCGUAGAUAUUGGGAGGAACACCAGUGGCGAAGGCGACUACCUGGACCGAUACUGACGCUAAAGCGCGAAAGCGUGGGGAGCAAAC